ACUCCUACGGGAGGCAGCAGUGGGGAAUAUUGCACAAUGGGGGAAACCCUGAUGCAGCCAUGCCGCGUGUGUGAAGAAGGCCUUCGGGUUGUAAAGCACUUUCAGUAGGGAGGAAGGUAGUGUAGUUAACACCUGCACUAUUUGACGUUACCUACAGAAGAAGCACCGGCUAACUCCGUGCCAGCAGCCGCGGUAAUACGGAGGGUGCGAGCGUUAAUCGGAAUUACUGGGCGUAAAGCGCAUGCAGGCGGCCUGUUAAGUCAGAUGUGAAAGCCCGGGGCUUAACCUCGGAAUUGCAUUUGAAACUGGCAGGCUAGAGUCUUGUAGAGGGGGGUAGAAUUUCAGGUGUAGCGGUGAAAUGCGUAGAGAUCUGAAGGAAUACCAGUGGCGAAGGCGGCCCCCUGGACAAAGACUGACGCUCAGAUGCGAAAGCUGGGGAGCAAACAGGAUUAGAUACCCUGUAGCACAGAG
rnacentral:rRNA from 1 species